GACGUAGGGGCGAGCGUUGUCCGGAAUUACUGGGCGUAAAGAGCGCGCAGGUGGUUGAUUAAGUCUGAUGUGAAAGCCCACGGCUUAACCGUGGAGGGUCAUUGGAAACUGGUCGACUUGAGUGCAGAAGAGGGAAGUGGAAUUCCAUGUGUAGCGGUGAAAUGCGUAGAGAUAUGGAGGAACACCAGUGGCGAAGGCGGCUUCCUGGUCUGUAACUGACACUGAGGCGCGAAAGCGUGGGGAGCAAACAGGAUUAGAUACCCGGGUA
rnacentral:rRNA from 1 species